GUGCCAGCCGCGCGGUAAUACCGGCAGCCCGAGUGAUGGCCGAUCUUAUUGGGCCUAAAGCGUCCGUAGCUGGCUGCGCAAGUCCGUCGGGAAAUCCACUCGCCCAACGAGUGGGCGUCCGACGGAAACUGCGUGGCUUGGGACCGGAAGGCGCGACGGGUACGUCCGGGGUAGGAGUGAAAUCCCGUAAUCCUGGACGGACCGCCGAUGGCGAAAGCACUUCGAGAAAACGGAUCCGACAGUGAGGGACGAAAGCCAGGGUCUCCAACCGGAUUAGAAACCCUAGUAGUCC
rnacentral:rRNA from 1 species